rnacentral:rRNA from 1 species
GCAAGUCGAACGAGAACCCUGGUGCUUGCAUUAGGGGGACAGUGGCGAACGGGUGAGUAACACGUGGAUAAUCUGCCUCUGGGAUGGGGACAACAUCGCGAAAGCGGUGCUAAUACCGAAUGAGGUGGUUGUAACUUAAGUUAUAGCCAUGAAACAGUGGGGAUCUUUGGACCUACUGCCUGGAGAUGAGUCCGCGGCUGAUUAGCUUGUUGGUGGGGUAACGGCCUACCAAGGCGACGAUCAGUAGCCGGCCUGAGAGGGUGAAC